rnacentral:rRNA from 1 species
UACGGGGGGGGCGAGCGUUGUUCGGAAUUACUGGGCGUAAAGGGCUCGUAGGCGGCCAACUAAGUCCGACGUGAAAUCCCCAGGCUCAACCUGGGAACUGCGUCGGAUACUGGAUGGCUUGAAUUCGGGAGAGGGAUGCAGAAUUCCAGGUGUAGCGGUGAAAUGCGUAGAUAUCUGGAGGAAUACCGGUGGCGAAGGCGGCAUCCUGGACCGACAUUGACGCUGAGGAGCGAAAGCUAGGGGAGCAAACGGG